CACGGGAUGAGGACCCCCCCCCUCCUCCCAGGCCGCAGACAGGGAAGGUGAAGCUCAGGGAAGGCAGCACUGUGUGCGCGACUCACUCGGUGUUCAUCUACCUUCUUCUGUGGGCCAGGCAAUGGCCCAAGCGCUGGGGACACAGGAGUUAACUGGUAUGCAAGAGCCAGUUUCUUAGGGAGCAAACAAUGUAUCAGAGAAGAAGCCAAGAGCACCUAAGUAACCCUAAAAUGGGAUGACAUGAGAGGGUCAUACUUGGAAGAAAAACCAGAUGGGGUGAUGAGACAGGAAGGAAGCAGGAGGCCCUGUUGGCCAAGGGGGCGGUGGAAGGCCUCUCCGCAUGAAUGACAGGUUUUGUUCUCAUGUGAAUUCUACUCUGUGGAGCUGUGAACCUGGGUCAAGACCAUGCCCCUGGAGAGUCUAUGCCAGGUCACCACGCCAGGCUCCCGCCUCACCCCAGACCCAGAGACAAAGCCAGCCGGGAGAGGUUCCACAGACACGCAGUGAAACAACUGCCUUCCCAAAGCUGCCGUGGCUAUUUCUUCCGGAGAGGCUUUGAGAAAGGAUGGCCUGCAUGUCACUGCCACUCACAAGGCCACGCUGAAGGUUCAUUCGGCACGGCUGGAGACCCCGCCUGCCCAAGACCCCCCACGCAUCUCUCUGGACACCUACGUCCGUCAAUAAAUCCUACUCUUU